rnacentral:tRNA from 1 species
GUUUUAAUAAUUUAAUAAAAAUAUUGGUCUUGUAAACCAAAAUUAAAGAAUUUCUUUUUAAAACU